GAUGAACGCUGGCGGCGUGCCUAAUACAUGCAAGCCGAGCGAACAGAUGAGGAGCUUGCUCCUCUGACGUUAGCGGCGGACGGGUGAGUAACACGUGGAUCACCUACCUAUAAGACUGGGAUAACUUCGGGAAACCGGAGCUAAUACCGGAUAAUAUAUUGAACCGCAUGGUUCAAUAGUGAAAGACGGUUUUGCUGUCACUUAUAGAUGGAUCCGCGCCGCAUUAGCUAGUUGGUAAGGUAACGGCUUACCAAGGCAACGAUGCGUAGCCGACCUGAGAGGGUGAUCGGCGACACUGGAACUGAGACACGGUCCAGACUCCUACGGGAGGCAGCAGUAGGGAAUCUUCCGCAAUGGGCGAAAGCCUGACGGAGCAACGCCGCGUGAGUGAUGAAGGUCUUCGGAUCGUAAAACUCUGUUAUUAGGGAAGAACAAAUGUGUAAGUAACUAUGCACGUCUUGACGGUACCUAAUCAGAAAGCCACGGCUAACUACGUG
rnacentral:rRNA from 1 species